rnacentral:rRNA from 1 species
GCAGGUCGAGCGGACUUGAUGGAGUGCUUGCACUCCUGAGAGUUAGCGGNGNGAGGGUGAGCUAACACGUAGGCAACCUGCCCUCRAGACUGGGAUAACUACCGGAAACGGUAGCUAAUACCGGAUAAUUUAUUUCACAGCAUUGUGGAAUAAUGAAAGACGGAGCAAUCUGUCACUUGGGGAUGGGCCUGCGGCGCAUUAGCUAGUUGGUGGGGUAAUGGCUCACCAAGGCGACGAUGCGUAGCCGACCUGAGAGGGUGAACGGCCAAACUGGGACUGAGACACGGCCCAGACUCCUACGGGAGGCAGCAGUAGGGAAUCUUCCGCAAUGGGCGAAAGCCUGACGGAGCAACGCCGCGUGAGUGAUGAAGGUUUUCGGAUCGUAAAGCUCUGUUGCCAAGGAAGAACGUCUUCUAGAGUAACUGCUAGGAGAGUGACGGUACUUGAGAAGAAAGCCCCGGCUAACUACGUGCCAGCAGCCGCGGUAAUACGUAGGGGGCAAGCGUUGUCCGGAAUUAUUGGGCGUAAAGCGCGCGCAGGCGGUUCUUUAAGUCUGGUGUUUAAACCCGAGGCUCAACUUCGGGGUCGCACUGGAAACUGGGGGACUUGAGUGCAGAAGAGGAGAGUGGGAAUUCCACGUGUAGCGGUGAAAUGCGUAGAUAUGUGGAAGGAACACCAGUGGCGAAGGCGACUCUCUGGGGCUGUAACUGACGCUGAGGCGCGAAAGCGUGGGGAGCAAACAGGAAUUAGA